rnacentral:rRNA from 1 species
UACGUAGGGGACUAGCGUUAUCCGGAAUUACUGGGCGUAAAGGGUGCGUAGGUGGUUUCUUAAGUCAGAGGUGAAAGGCUACGGCUCAACCGUAGUAAGCCUUUGAAACUGGGAAACUUGAGUGCAGGAGAGGAGAGUGGAAUUCCUAGUGUAGCGGUGAAAUGCGUAGAUAUUAGGAGGAACACCAGUGGCGAAGGCGGCUUUCUGGACAGUAACUGACGCUGAGGCGCGAAAGCGUGGGGAGCAAACAGGAUUAGAUACCCUGGUAGUCCCUGAGCGGG